ACAAGCACAACUUCGCUCCAGAUUCCAUCACCAAACCUAAAUAUAAAUAGCAGUUUAACAAGUCUCCAACAGCUAACCACCGAUGAUAAUCCCGCUAACCACCAAAGAUAGCAGAAUGGCAGUUUAACAAGUCUCCGAAGGCUAAAAGAAAGAGGAACACCUAACGAUCGUCCUAGAUCCACCAACACAACCUAACAGGUAAGUAGUUGACCAUAUUACAAGUUCCAGCCUAAGUGCCUCAUGCCCCCCACCCCAGUGUUGCCCUACACGUCAAGAUGGAUCUCGGAGCUCUCCGGCAGCAUGGUCUGCGGCCUCUCAGUCAUCGCAGAGGGAGCCGUUCCCUAUGGUGCAGUUGUAUCAGACACCAUAAGCUCCAACAGCGUGGUGUUUGCCCUCUGCACUAGUGCAGAACCGGGCAAUAGCACCGGUUCGUAAGGCCCUUUAGUGCCGGUUCCAUAACCGGCACUAAAGUGUGGGCACUAAAGGCCCCCCCCCCUUUAGUACCGGUUCAGCACGAACCGGUGCUAAAGGGAAACCACGUGGCACGAGCCAGCUCCUGGGGCCUGGAGUCCUUUAGUACCGGUUGGUAAGACCAACCGGUACUAUAAGGUUUGGGGGGUUUUAGUUUUAUGAUUUCUUUUUCAUUUAAUUUUGUGUUUCCAUUUUAAUUCUUUUUCGUUUGCUGGUAUUUUACGAUACUACACAUUGUACACGUUAUGCAUAUAUAUAUAUAUAUAUAUAAAUAGAAUUUCUAGUAGAACCAAUCAUGCAUAUAUAUAUCAUCAAUGUCUCACAAACCAUCAUAUUAAUUAAUUCACACAUACACACAUGUAUAGCUAUAUACAAUUUCUUCUACAUAUGCAUGUUGCCUUCGGAGCCAGUGGCAUUAUAGCCUAAUUGGUGCCUUCGGAGCACGAUGACAAUUGGAAGUGGUUUUCAUUGGGGCGGUAGCGGGUAAUAGUAUUCUCCCUUCGGAUUUAUGACCUGGUCGAGCAAAAAUCCCGCUAUUUCCACUUGAAGUGCUUCUACGCGCUCCGUUUCUAGGAGCUUCGCCCGCACCUCUCUGAACUGUUAAGAAGGAGAUCAAUAUGCAUGUGUAUUAGUUGUGUGACUAGAUAUCGAUAAUGGUGUAAAAAUUGUGAAUAGUGUUUUGACAAGCUUACCCAUUCCUGUCUUUGAGAUCUGCUCCUUUCGGACGCCAUCAUGCGAAUGUUCUCGCAAACGCAGAAUGCACACAGAUCAGUCCCCUGCGCCUGCUUCAGGGCCUUUACGAGAAUGAAAUUUGAUCAGAUAAUAAUUAAUCAAGCAUGAUAAUUAAAGAGAUGGCAGCUAGCUAGCUAGCUAGUACUACUUAAUUACUUACCUUGGGUCUUCCCCAUUUAAGCUUUUCUUUCCAUUCGCCGUCCGUGACCCUGAUGAACCUUGCCCAAGCCCUGCCCGCCGAAAAAGAAAAUGAAUAAAGGGGUUAUUAAGUAGUUCAUAUCAUGAAAUGACGAACUAAAUAGGCCGAGAUAUAUAGUUAAUAAUGAUUGAAAUUACCUGUUGACUAUCCCAAACAAGAUGUUAUAGUCAAUUUUUUCUUUGAGUAGUGAGUCCAGUAUUUCAACUGUUCCGGCGUCAACUUUAAUGAUACACAAGACCCAGUGAUAUCUGCAUGCACACACGUUUGCAUGUCUUAAUUAAGCGGGCAUAUGUAAGCAAAAACAUGUAGCUAGCUAGUAGGCAAAAACAGAGAAUUUGUAGUACAAGACAGUGUGACUCACUGGAAGUUGUAAGGAAGUAGUAUAUCUUCAUUGUAUUUGAGGCGCUUCAAGAACUCUAGCAUGCUGUCCUCUACGGCCUUUUGAUGACGUUCAUCUAUUUUCCAUGUGUAUUCAUUAACGGUGUUUGGGUCAAUGAACCCAAUGCCAUAGCGUCCACCUUUUCUCAUUUCAUACAUCUUCAUCCUGCAUAUAAUGGAGGAUAAUUACAGGUAAUGAUAAGGAUCACUACAGCUAGCUUGAGACUUAAAUUACAGAAAGAAAUCACUUACAGACAAUAGCAACUGACGAUAGAUUUGUCGAGUGCGUCUUGAUUGUAUAACUGAAACAGUUCAGAAUACUCAACGGACACAGCUUUCUCAUGGUAGUAAUGAUCCUCCUUGACAUUCACCAUGAGGGACAAUCGAUCGGAAAUCUUGGUAAUGUUCAUGUACCAUUGAUGCAAUUCAUACAUUCUCGUUGGGAGGUUCUUGACCUUGUCUGGCUCGACCAAAGGUUGGCCCCGGACAUAUUUUCGUUUUAUUUCAUCCUCUCUAAGCACAGGCAUGGGCUCGAUCUCGAGGAGUUGUCCAACAGUGAUUUUGAGAACUUCAGCCUGCAUUAUAUGCUCCUCCGUUACUACCACAUUGCCCACCUCAGGAACGUAAACUGUUUGCCCACAAUAAUAUUGGGCACGCGUACUGUCACGUGUUGUUGGCACAACAAGCGAGGGGAUCGAUUGCGCCGCCUGUUCUCCCAGCUAGGGAAUGGUUUUCCCGCAUUUUUUGACAGCUGCUUCUUGUUUGCUCGAUCCCGAGCUCGCCUCCUUACGUACACGUGCUCGAUUUAACUUCCUGAUGUGGCGCUCAUAGUCUGUGUCAACAGGCUCGGGAGCUGGUGGUUGAGCCAUACGAAUGAAGUGGUCAAUCAUUUCCUCAGGCACUUUCUCCCUUGGCGGUGUUGGCAGUUUCGGUGCAAAAUAGGCUUCCACCUCGGACUUGGAUAUGGCUGCGAUUUCCUCCUCGGACCUGUCAUAAGCCCUCUGAGGAAGAGGCGUGAGGCUUGGACCUUAUUUAUAUCGCUUGCCUCCGCCUGUACUUCCUGUACUACCUCAACUCGUACCGCUACGCACCAUAGCUGCGGGGUGUCUCUUCUGUGAUUACUGAGGCGGCGGAGACGGCUGACAGGGCUGAGUUGGACGAGGAGGAGUGGCCGCCUGAAGCUGUGCCGGACUUGGAGGAGGAGUGGCCUGAGCUUGUGCCGGACUUGGAGGAGGAGUGGAUGUCUGACGCUGUGGCGGACUUGGAGGAGGAGGAGUGGCCUGACACUUUGCCGGACUUGGAGGAGGAGUGGCCUGACACUUUGCCGGACUUGGUGGACUUGCAGGAGCGGGAGACUGCUGACUCGGUGGCGGACUUCGACGAGGAGUCGGCUGAUGCGGUGUCGGUGGCCUUCGAAUGAUGAUGCAAUCCUUUUUCCAUAGGAUGAUAUGAUGUUUGGCGUCUCCGAGAAAGCGCUCAUCGUCACCUCCAGGAUAGUCAAGCUCUAGCUCUGAAUAUGGGUCCACCACCUCAUCAACCAAGACACGAGCAUAGCCCGCUGGAAUUGGGUUGCAAUGGAAGGUUGCCUCGGGGGGAUUUGUAAACGCAACGACGUCCGCCACCUUCAUGGAUAUGUUCUUCAUUUUGACGUGUAGCUCGCAGCUAGUGUUCUCCGUGAUGUCAUCCACGGGGUAUCUACCCAGCAUUGCAUCGUCCGGGGCGGAACCCACGCUGCUUCUCGACAUGGAUGGGGCGGUGCUAUCCAAUGCUGGAUCAUUCGCUAGCUGCUGCAGCUACUGAGACCCCCUUUGCUGGGUAAGUGAGUCGAUCUGCUCCUGCUGCCGCUGGAAUUUGACUAUCAAUUCCGCUUGACUUGCUUCUAGGCCUUGAAGGCGUUCAUAGUCCCGCUUCCUCUGCUCCUCCUCCAUCUUCCUCUUCUUCUCCUCCGCAAUCUUCUUUCUCGCACGGGUUCUGUAGUCGGUGUUCCAGUCUGAGAACCCCUCAUACCACGGAAUAGCGCCCUUGCCUCGUGUUCUUCCCGGGUGUUCAAGAUUUCCCAGGGCACGCGUAAGCUCGUUGUUCUCUCUGUUGGGCUGGAACACCCCCGAUCGUGCCUCUUCUAUUGCAACAAGUAUCGCAUCGUCGGCUCCCUUCAGACUUGCCCUCAUCGAAACAUUGCCUGUCUUCGGGUCCAACUCCCCCCCAUGCGCAUAGACCCAAGUCCUGACCCUGGGGGGCCAGCUCUUAGUAACCGGAGUGGCACCUGCAUCCUCCACCUCUUUCUCAGACUUAUCCCACUUAGGCAUUGCCACCGCAUAGCCACCUGGCCCCAGCUUAUGGAACUUAUCCUUUUUUUUGGCAUUCUUCUUGUUUAUUCUCGACCGUUCCUUAGCUAAUUCCGAAUCCUUGAAUUUCACGAAAUCGUCCCAAUGAGCACGUUGGUUCUCUAGUGUUCCCUCGAAUACUGGAGUCUUCCUUCCUCCCUUGACGUACUUGUCCCAUUCACGAUUCUUGUGGUUCUUGAAUGCAACCGCCAUCUUCCUAAGAGCAGUGUCCUUGACUUUCUGCACAUCUGCUUCUGUGAAAUGAUCUGGUAGGGUGAAAUGUUCCAUGAGAGUAUCCCAAAGCAGAUCUUUUUGAUUCUUGUUGACAAAAGUAACAUCUGAACGUGGAGCAGCGUCCUCUUUGCCUUUUUGUCUUUUGUCUUUUGCUGGCUCUCUCCAUUCUUGAAGGGAGAUCGGGAGUUGGUCCUUCACAAGAACUCCGCACUGACGAAUGAACUUGUCCGCAGUCUUCUUAGGCGCUAAUGAUUCGCCAUUAGGUCUGACUGCCUCGAUAUUGUACUUUACGCCCUCCUUCAACUUUUUGUUCGGGCCUCGUUUCGUCCUUUUGCCUGAAGAUUUGCUCGAUCCGGAUGGCUGAAAGAACAAAGAUCGAUUCGUUAAUAUAUCUUCAAGUCAUUUAAAACAUGUGAUGAUCACCAGAUACCUGCUUAUAUAAAUAUAUAUACCUCGCCGGUCUUUGUUGUUUUAGGAUCAACAUGUUCUUCGUCAUCGUCAUAAUCGUAGUUCAUGACUUCAUCAAUUUGGUCGUCGCGAUCGAAUAUCAUAUCACCCUCUCCGGUGUUGUUUAGAAAUUCGGAGCCGUCAUAAUCUUCUUCGUUCUGAUCAUCAUUUGGCCCGCGUAUCAUAUCGAACAUGGUCUGUUCUCCCUCUCUGUCGGUAUUGUCUGCCAUAGCUUUUAUUUAACUAAUUCAAAAGAAAUAUAAAACAAUUUAGUAUUCAAAUUACAUCGUCUCGAAUAAUAGAUAUAAUCUCGAAUACUUCGUCUAGAAUAAUAGAUAUAAUCUCGAAUACAUCGUCUCGAAUAAUAUAUAAUAUUGAAUAGUACAUCACUGGCUAGCUAAUUAAAGAUCGAAUACUACAGAAGAAUCUAGGACACUCGCGGUUCCUACGGCGCGGGCGGUGGACACCCAAAGAGAAGGAACCCUCACAGGAUCAUAGCUGAAGUGAGAUCCCCAAAGAUACUGCCAGGUAUUGGAGAACCUGCCGCCCUCUAACGCAACCAUGUAGCGAUGGACGUGCUCGUCCUCCUCCCUGACACGGCGACGUACCACCUCCGGCGGGGCCGGGUCCCUCCGCACAAAAACUGGCCCACACGAACGCCACCAAACGAGAUCAGGGUCGACGACGGGACCCGGGGCCGGGUUCCUCAUCAAGCGGCGCGCCCCUCCAGGCAGCACCUCCUAGUGCCAGCCCGGCGAAGCCCAGUCCCGGACAUGGGUCGGCUGGACGUCGUCGCGGACGGGUCGACGGCGAGGAUGCGGGCCGGGCAUCGUCGAGAACAAAUACUAGCUAUAUGCCCGCAAAAAGUAACAUUUUUUUAAUGAUUGAAUUUUGAUAACUAAAAUUUCUAACAUUUCUAUAUAACACUAAUUAUGCUAAUCUAAACAAUCUAAAUAACACUAAAAUUUCUAACAUUUCUAACAUUUCUAUAUAACACUAAUUUCUAACAUUUCUAUAUAACACUAAUUUCUAACUGAUUAAACACUAAUUAUAUCCAUCUAACAUGCAUUCAUACAUAUAUAAUAGUGAAAAAAUAAUAAUCUAAAUAAUCUAAACUAAUUAAACAUACAAAAUACGUGUGUGUACUAAUUAAACACUAAUUAUCUAACCUAAUUAAACAUACAAAAUAAUAAUCUAAACUAAUUAAAGACUAAUUAUCUAAAGUAAUUAAACAUGCUUGUGUGUGUGUACGGGCUCUGGGAGGGCUCACAGCGGGCGACGGCGACGGCGAGGCGACGGCGAGGCNNNNNNNNNNNNNNNNNNNNNNNNNNNNNNNNNNNNNNNNNNNNNNNNNNNNNNNNNNNNNNNNNNNNNNNNNNNNNNNNNNNNNNNNNNNNNNNNNNNNNNNNNNNNNNNNNNNNNNNNNNNNNNNNNNNNNNNNNNNNNNNNNNNNNNNNNNNNNNNNNNNNNNNNNNNNNNNNNNNNNNNNNNNNNNNNNNNNNNNNNNNNNNNNNNNNNNNNNNNNNNNNNNNNNNNNNNNNNNNNNNNNNNNNNNNNNNNNNNNNNNNNNNNNNNNNNNNNNNNNNNNNNNNNNNNNNNNNNNNNNNNNNNNNNNNNNNNNNNNNNNNNNNNNNNGGGCGGCAACGGAGACGAGGGCGGCGACGGGGACGGGGGCGGCGACGGAGACGAGCGGUGACGGAGACGAUCGAGGGCGGCGGCGACGGCGACGGAGACGGAAACAAAGGAACGAACAGAGAGGGAAACUGAAAUUUUCGUAGCCGUUGUAUAUAUAGAAGGCACCUUUAGUACCGGUUGGAACCACCAACCGGUAUUAAAGGCCUGUUUUGGCCAGGCCAAGCGGCGGGAAGCGACCCCCUUUUGUACUGGAUGGUGGCACAAACCGGUACUAAAGGCCCCCCCUUUAGUACCGGUUUGUGCCACGACCCGGUACUAAAGGGGGUGCGCUGGCGCAGGUGCGGUGCGGCAAGUUUAGUCCCACCUCGCUAGCCGAGGGGCGACCGCACUGGUUUAUAAACCCCCAUGCGGUCGCUCUCUCGAGCUCCUCUCCAAAGCAGGCUUACUGGGCCUACGUGUUCUUUGCAGCCCUGUGGGCCCACUUGGCCUUUGCGGGCCUGCAUCCUGGCCCAACGACAGGUUGGGUUUCUAGUCGUAUGCAGGCCGCUCUGGCCUAGUAGGCGGGCUUAUUUUUAUUUUAUUUUUUGCUUUAUUUAUUUUUGUGUUGUUUUUUUGUGUAUUUAGAGUUUCUUUCUGAACAUUUUUGUUUUAGGUACAAAAAAUUACAAACUUUCUGUUAGGGCUUUUUUUAUUAUUUUUUUGCUUUAUUUAUUUUUGUGUUGUUUUUUGUGUACUUAGAGUUUCUUUGUGAACAUUUUUGUUUUAGGUACAAAAAAUUACAAACUUUCUGUUAGUGCCCGUAGUUUUCAAAUUUGAAUAGUUUAAAUUUUGAAUUAUUUGAAAUUAGUGUGAAUCACUAGUUUGUGAAUAACUUAACUUUAAAAAUCAGUAAAGGCAUGAAAGAAUUUGUUUGCACAUAAAAUUUCUUCGCAUUUCAAAUGCCAAAACACAUAACUACCCUAACUAUUACAGAGAUUCCCCUCUCGGUGCGAAACACAGAAGAAAGUGAUGAUAGCUAGUGAAGCCAAUCACAUCCCAGAUCUUUGGGUGUGAAACUUUUUCUUCGCGUGUGUCCCUUUGCGCCGUAACCAUGGAAAAUCUUCAUCAUUUAACGGGAUGCUCGGGUCAAUAUUCACUGUGAAUGGAGCAAUUUCAUCAAACUUUUCAUAAUCUUCUGACUUGUCUGUCUUGUCAUCCACUCCCACGAUGUUUCUCUUCCCAGAAAGAACUAUGUGCCGCUUUGGCUUAUCGUAUGAUGCAUUCGCUUCCUUGUCUUUUCUUUUUCUUGGCUUGGUAGACAUGUCCUUCACAUAGAAAACCUGUGCCACAUCAUUGGCUAGGACGAAUGGUUCUUCUGCAUACGCAAGAUUGUUGAGAUCCACUGUUGUCAUUCCGUACUGCGGGUCUUCCGUUACCCCGCCUCGUGUCAUAUUGACCCAUUUGCACCGAAACAAAGGAACCUUUAAACCACGUCGAUAGUCAAGUUCCCAUAUGUCCUGUAUAUAACCAUAAUAUGUUUCCUUUCCUGUCUUGGUUUCUGUAUCAAAGCGGACACCACUGUUUUGGUUGGUGCUCUUCUUAUCUUGGGCGAUCGUGUAAAAUGUAUUACCAUUUAUCUUGUACCCUUUGAAAGUCAUUAUAUUCGAAGAUGGUAACUGGGACAGCAAAUACAGGUCAUCUUCAAUAGAGGUGUCAUGCAUGGUACGUGUCUGCAACUAGCUGGCGAAACUCCUGGUUUGUUCACGUGUAAUCCAGUCAUCAGACCGCUCCGAGUGUUUGGAGCGUAGCAAAUUCUUGUGUUCAUCCAUAUACGGAGCCACCAAGGCGGAAUUCUGUAGAACUGUGUAGUGUGCUUCAGUGAGAGAAUGUCCGUCCAUACAUAUUAUUUGUUCCCCUCCUAGCGUGCCUUUUCCAUCCAGUCUGCCCUUAUGCCGCGAUUCUGGAACACCAAUCGGCUUAAGGUCAGGAAUAAAGUCAAUACAAAACUCAAUGACCUCCUCAUUUUGAUGGCCCUUGGAGAUGCUUCCUUCUGGCCUAGCACGGUUAUGAACAUAUUUCUUUAAGACUCCCAUGAACCUCUCAAAGGGGAACAUAUUGUGUAGAAAUACAGGACCCAAAACGUUAAUCUCUUGGCACAGGUGAACUAGGACGUGUGUCAUGAUGUUGAAGAAGGAUGGUGGGAACACCAACUCGAAACUGACAAGACAUUGCACCAAAUCAUUCUGUAACCUUGGUAUGAUUUCUGGAUCGAUUACCUUCUGAGAGAUUGCAUUGAGAAAUGCACAUAGCUUCACAAUGGCUAAUCAAACGUUUUUCGGUAGAAGCCACCUCAAUGCAACCGGAAGCAGUUGCGUCAUAAUCACGUGGCAGUCAUGAGACUUUAGGUUCUGGAACUUUUUCUCUGCCAUGUUUAUUAUUCCCUUUAUAUUCGACGAGAAGCCAGACGGUACCUUAAUACUGAGCAGGCAUUCAAAGAAGAUUUCCUUCUCUUCUUUGGUAAGAGCGUAGCUUGCAUGACCCUGAUGUAUGCCGUCUUCUCCGUGCAUACGUUGCUGGUCCUCCCGUGCCUCAGGUGUAUAUUUUGUCUUCCCAUACACGCCCAACAAGCCAAGCAGGGUCACGCAAAGAUUCUUCGUCACGUGCAUCACGUCGAUUGCGGAGCGGACCUCUAGGUCUUUCCAAUAUGGCAGGUCCCAAAAUAUAGAUUUCUUCUUCCACAUGGGUGCGCGUCCGUUAGCGUCCUUUGGAACGGAUUGUCCUCCAGGACCCUUUCCAAAUAUCACCUUCAAAUCCUUGACCAUAUCAUGUACAUCAGCACCAGUACGGUGGCGAGGCUUCGUCCGGUGAUCCGCCUCACCUUUGAAAUGCUUGCCUUUCUUUCUUACGGGAUGCCUGCUCGGAAGAAAUCGACGAUGUCCCAGGUACACAUUCUUCUUACAACUAUUCAAAUAUAUACUGCCGGUAUCAUCCAGACAAUGCGUGCAUCCGUGGUAUCCCUUGUUUGUCUGUCCUGAAAGGUUACUGAGAGCAGGCCAAUCAUUGAUGGUCACGAACAGCAAUGCCUUUAGGUCAAAUUCUUCCUGUUUGUGCUCAUCCCAUGUACGUACACCUGUUCCAUUCCACAGUUGUAAGAGUUCUUCAACUAAUGGCCUUAGAUAUACAUCAAUGUCGUUGUCGGGUUGUUUAGGGCCUUGGAUGAGCACUGGCAUCAUAAUGAACUUCCGCUUCAUGCACAACCAAGGAGGAAGGUUAUACAAACAUAGAGUCACAGGCCAGGUGCUAUGGUUGCUGCUCUGCUCCCGAAAAGGAUUAAUGCCAUCUGCGCUUAGACCAAACCAUACGCUCCUUGCGUCAUCUGCAAACUCCUUCCCGUACUUUCUUUCGAUUUUUCUCCACUGCGACCCGUCAGUGGGUACUCUCAACUUUCCGUCUUUCUUAUGGUCUUCUCUGUGCCAUCGCAUCGCCUUGGCAUGCUCUUUGUUUUGGAACAAACGUUUCAACCGUGGUAUUAUAGGAGAAUACCACAUCACCUUGGCAGGAAUCUUCUUCCUGGGGCGCUCGCCCUCGACAUCACCAUGCUCAUCGCGGCUGAUCUUAUAGCGCAAUGCACCACAUACCGGGCAAGCGUUCAAAUCCUCGUACUCACCACGGUAGAGGAUGCAAUCAUUAGGGCAUGCAUGUAUCUUCUGCACCUCUAACCCUAGAGGGCAGACAGCCUUCUUUGCUUCGUACGUACUCUCGGGCAAUUCGUUGUCCUUUGGAAGCAUAUCCUUUAUCAUUACCAACAACUUUCCAAAUCCCUUGUCAGAUACACCAUUCUCUGCCUUUCAUUGCAGCAAUUCCAGUGUGGUGCCCAACUUUUUCUUGUCACCUACGCAAUUCGGGUACAACAAUUUUUGUGAUCCUCUAACAUGCGCUGCAACUUCUUCUUCUCCAAAUCACUUGCGCAGUUUCUCUUUGCAUCGGCAAUGGCCCGACCUAGAUCAUCAACGGGCUCAUCUGAUGCCUCUCUUCAGCUUCUUCCCGCAUUGUCGGCUCAGCUUCUUCCCGCAUUACCGGCUCAGCUUCUUCCCCCAUUGUUGUAUCAUCGUAUUCAGGGAACCCAUGGCCAGGAUAGCUGUCGUCGUCCUCUUCUUCUUCAUUGUCUUCCAUCAUAACCCCUCUUUCUUCGUGCUUGGUCCAAACAUUAUAGUGGGGCAUGAAACCGGACUCAAACAGGUGGACGUGAAUGGUUCUUGACGUAGAGUAAUUGCGACCAUUCUUACAGGCAGCACAUGGACAAGGCAUAAAACCAUCCGCCCGCUUGUUUGCCUCAGCCGCAAGCAGAAAAGUAUGCACGCCCUCAACGAACUGGGGAGAGCAUCGGUCAUCAUAUAUCCAUUGUCGGCUCAUCUUCAUUACACAACACCGAAUAGACCAAAUUAAUACAAGUUCAUACAUAAAGUUCAUACAACACUUAAAUGCAACAAACAAAUAACUCUCUAGCUAAAGCAUUUAAAUGCAACAACAAAUGCGAUCAAGAUCGCAACUAAGGUAACAAUUGAUCCAACAGCAUAAUGAUACCAAGCCUCACUAUCGAUGGCAUAUUUUCUAAUCUUUCUAAUCUUCAAGCGCAUUUUCUCCUUCUUGAUCUUGUGAUCAUCGACGACAUCGGCAACAUGCAACUCCAAUUUCAUCUUUUCCCCCUCAAUUCUUUUCAAUUUUUCUUUCAAGUACUCGUUUUCUCUUUCAACUAAAUUUAACCUCUCGACAAUAGGGUCGGUUGGAAUUUCCGGUUCACAUACCUCCUAGACAAAAAUAUCUAUGUCAACUUGAUGGGCAUAAUUUGUCAUAAACACGAAAUGCAACAAAUAGUUUUAAAAGAGAAUAUACCACAGCCGAAUCAUAACAAGGACGAGGGCCAACGGGGACGGAUAUCAAAACCAUGGCACUAUGUAUAACAAAGAACGUACGGGUAAGAUAAUUAUUAUACGAGUAACUAUAUAUCCAAAUCACACAAACAUCAAUUUUUUAUAUAAAAUUUCAUGAACAAGAGGCUCACCACAAGGUGGUGCCGGCAACGGGACGAUGCGAGCGAUCAACGGUGGUUACGACGGAGAUUUAGAAGGCACUAAGUAAACCACACCUACAUAUGCAAACUAAGUGUUAUUUUAACCUCAAAUUGCAUAUAAAUCAAAUACUAGCACAUAUAUAUAUUUCCUUCCAGAUUACUAAACUCACAAAUUAAUAACUAUAUAAAGCAUUGCAAGAGCUAAUCUAGCAAUGAGAGAUGAAAGGACAAAGUUGCUAACCUUUGUGAUCAUUUGAAUGGAUGGGGGCCUUCAAAUCUUGAAAAAAUUUAGGCAAAAUGUGUGAUGAGCUCGAGAGGAAGAGGGGAAGAACAGAGAGGAGAGGGGAAAGGGGAAGAACAGAGCGAGCUCGGAUGGACGAAGGGUUUAUGUAGGACGACCUUUAGUACCGGUUCGUGCCAAGAACCGGUACUAAAGGUGCUGGAGGGGGCCCAGACUGACAACAUCCUGCCACCACUCUCAUUAGUACCGGUUCGUGGCUAACCUUUAGCACCGGUUCGUGCCACGAACCGGUACUAAUGAGAGCGGCCCGGCUAGCCGUUGGAACCGGCACUAAUGUAUACAUUUGUGCCGGCUCAAAUACAAACCGGCACUAAUGUGCUUCACGUUUGACCCUUUUUCUACUAGUGUGCGCAGUCGUCACAGAGAGAGCCGUUCUCUGUGGCGUCGUUGUACCAGGCACCAGAAGCUCCUCGUCUGUCUCCUUCUGCAUCCCUGCCGAAUGUAUUAUAAAGGAACACACAUAGCAGAUUUAUCUCAGCAGGCGGCGUCCCUGCCGAAUGUAUUAUAAAGGAACACACAUAGCAGAUUUAUCUCAGCAGGCGGCGACUUAAUAAGCUUCUCAAAACAAGCACCGGUUCUGAGCUUCCACAAUGCCCACAGCACAAACCUCCUACUCCAACUACAUGCAGAUGGGGAUAGCUAUCAUCCAAAAUAUAAGUUUUUGCUUCAUU
rnacentral:lncRNA from 1 species